rnacentral:lncRNA from 1 species
GGAUGCAAUCUCUUUGUUUCUCAACCUCUUCACUUCUCUCCCUUCGAUUCUCAAAGGCACAGUCUCGAUGGUCAAGUCAUCCUUCACUUGAACAUCGUCCGAUUCAAUCACGUGUGUCGGAUCAGACACAUACUUGCGCAACUGUGAUACAUCGAAAACAUCGUGCAAAUUCGCCAAUGAUGGCGGUAAUGCAAUCCUAUACGCAACUUUCCCAACUCGCUUCAAAAUCUCAAACGGCCCAAUAUCCUCGAUGUUAACUUCCUUGACUUCAACGCACGUCCUACUCCAGUAGUCGAUGUAACUCGUAGGAAUACAUGAUCCCCCUCUUGGAAUUCAAUGUCCUUCCUCCUCUUAUCAUGAUAACUCUUCUGUCGACUCUGAGACGCUUUCAUCUUCUCACAAAUCAUCCGAAUCUUCUCUGUUGUUUCUUGUACAAUCUCUAGUCCAAGAAUUGCACCUUCUCCAGUUUCAUACCAACACAGAGGUGUCCUACACCUUCUCCCAUACA